rnacentral:misc_RNA from 1 species
GAUGAAGAACGUAGCGAAAUGCGAUAAGUAAUGUGAAUUGCAGAAUUCAGUGAAUCAUCGAAUCUUUGAACGCACCUUGCACUCCUUGGUAUUCCGAGGAGUACGCCUGUUCGAGUGUUAUGAAGCUCUCAAAACGCAAUUGGCUUAAAACCUGAUUGUUGUUUUGGAUUUGAACUUUGCCGUGUUAUAACGGCUGGUUUUAAAAGUAUUAGCUGGUACUAGAACGAAUUGGUUCUACUCAACGUGAUAAUUAUCUGAUCGUUGAGGACAUUCCUUUCACGAGGAAAGGCCAUAGUAAAUUCAAUGGACUGCUUCUAAUCUGGCUUUAAUUCUUUAUUGGAUUAACCACUUUUCAAAUCUGACCUCGAAUCAGGUGGGACUACCCGCUGAACUUAAGCAUAUCAAUAAGCGGAGGA